rnacentral:lncRNA from 1 species
CGGAAUAUAAAAUAGGAGUUUUUACAUAAGGUACCAAAAGAUAACAACAACACUGUUAAUUGUAAACACUUCAUGCCGAGAGGUGGUUAGGGGAAGGAUCACUGGGAGCGGUGCGAGGUUCGGUCGGAGGAUUGAUCAAAUCUCCUUCCGUCCCGAUGGAGGUGUUUGCCAGAAGGUCGGGGGCGGGAGCGAGUUGCAUGGAUAGAUCCACCAGUUGCC